rnacentral:rRNA from 1 species
GUGCCAGCAGCCGCGGUAAUACCGGCAGUCCGAGUGAUGGCCGAUCUUAUUGGGCCUAAAGCGUCCGUAGCUGGCCGCGCAAGUCUGUCGGGAAAUCCACCCGCUUAACGGGUGGGCGUCCGGCGGAAACUGUGCGGCUUGGGACAGGAAGGCUCGAGGGGUACGUUCGGGGUAGGAGUGAAAUCCCGUAAUCCUGAACGGACCACCGAUGGCGAAAGCACCUCGAGAGGACUGAUCCGACAGUGAGGGACGAAAGCUGGGGUCUCGAACCGGAUUAGAAACCCCCGUAGUCC